UGGGGAAUUUUGGACAAUGGGGGAAACCCUGAUCCAGCCAUCCCGCGUGUAUGAUGAAGGCCUUCGGGUUGUAAAGUACUUUUGGCAGAGAAGAAAAGGUACCUCCUAAUACGAGGUACUGCUGACGGUAUCUGCAGAAUAAGCACCGGCUAACUACGUGCCAGCAGCCGCGGUAAUACGUAGGGUGCAAGCGUUAAUCGGAAUU
rnacentral:rRNA from 1 species